UUUGUGUUGGUGCUUUAGAAAGAGAAACUGGAGAUUGGGACAAGCUUUAGCUAUAUGAUUUUGGGGCUACCAGUAUAUGGUUGUCCAUUUUCCUAUUGUCUUUCCAGUGGAUGUAAUUGUUUGACAUUUAAUUUGAAGUGAAGGCAAUAAUGAUACUGAGAGCUUAGAUACUGACUGAAUUCUUAUGCGUUUAGCUUAAUUGUACAUCGAUCGUACGUCUUACAUCAUACAAAAUAAAAAUUCAGUUAUCUAGCUUCAUGUUUCAACUUCCACUAAGCUGUGCUGUCUUUGGUUAUAUUUUCAGGUAUUUUGAUCCAUUUCAAUUUGAUCACUUAUCAAGAACGAUCCACACAGAAAUAGAGAGAUUGGCUGUGAUUGUUUGCUUUGCUUUGCACAAAGACAUAGAGAGAGAGAUAGCUGAUAUUCACAAAAGGAGAUUGUCACCUCAUCAUCUGAGUACGAGGAGGUUAUUGUUUGGAACAGCACACCAGAGGAUCACAGGAUGAUUGUUACUGAUAUUCGAAUUAGAACAAAUCUCCUGAACAGAAAAUGAACCAACUAUGUUGGUAGAGUUCGUGUAAGUUCAGAUUCGAUGAGUAAAAUAGAGGCUGAACUUGAAGCUGAAUUUCAAAGGUUGGGGCUAAACAGGAAUACUUCUACUUUGGAGAGAAGAUGAACUGAUCUUGAUGAGUAUGACGAAUUGGAAGAGCUGGAGUGAUCUGAUUGCCAAUAUAUGAAAUUAACAAUGAGUCCAGGCUGCUAUCAUCACAGUUGAAGGGGGUUAUCCCCUGGUGGAGAUCUUCCCUUCCUGUCCAAGACCAUGAGUUGUUAAGAAUGAAGAUCUAGAGUUUUGGUGAAAAUUGAGAGCUUCAAAGCCAUUCACAAGCAGGAAAAAAUCAUUGAAGCUUCCUAUGGAGUCAUGAUUGCUCAGGUUGAUCAUGUAGCUUCUCAACUACUUGAAUCAAUGAUUGAAUACCCAACCCCAACACACGUUGAGGAAAGGAUAUUUUUUCCUUGCCUUGGUGGUGAAUUGGACAGUGAGUGUAAUGAACCAGUUUCAAUGAAACCCGUGCUUCCCCAUCAUAGACUACACACAAUCAAGAGGAGCUACUAGAUUGCAAAACACUAUCAGAGGUUUUAAAGAGCUUGGAAAAGAAGAUGCCUAACUUGAAAAUUUUCACCUAUGAACAAUUGGAUCAGUUGAAAAGAGCUGCCAUCUUCACUGAAUGUGAAGUGAGAAUGUGACACAUAAUGCAUUUAGAAGUGGGGCAGAAUAUUUAACCUGUGAAUGUUCUUUUCUGAUUUUGGGUUGGUUUCUUAUUUGAAUCCUCUUCGUUUGAUUUUUGUUAGUUGUUAGUUCAGUUAGGAAAAAAGCAAUUUACAAUUGUUAUAUGAGUAGAAUGCAUUUAUACUACCUGCGGCAAAGCGUAGUAUCGCGAGUUAUGUUUAUCUCAGAUAUACUGCAUGUAUGUCAACAAUGGAAAC